rnacentral:rRNA from 1 species
AUUGAACGCUGGCGGCAGGCCUAACACAUGCAAGUCGAGCGGAUGAAGGGAGCUUGCUCCUGGAUUCAGCGGCGGACGGGUGAGUAAUGCCUAGGAAUCUGCCUGGUAGUGGGGGAUAACGUCCGGAAACGGGCGCUAAUACCGCACACGUCCUGAGGGAGAAAGUGGGGGAUCUUCGGACCUCACGCUAUCAGAUGAGCCUAGGUCGGAUUAGCUAGUUGGUGGGGUAAAGGCCUACCAAGGCGACGAUCCGUAACUGGUCUGAGAGGAUGAUCAGUCACACUGGAACUGAGACACGGUCCAGACUCCUACGGGAGGCAGCAGUGGGGAAUAUUGGACAAUGGGCGAAAGCCUGAUCCAGCCAUGCCGCGUGUGUGAAGAAGGUCCUCGGAUUGUAAAGCACUUUAAGUUGGGAGGAAGGGCAGUAAGUUAAUACCUUGCUGUUUUGACGUUACCAACAGAAUAAGCACCGGCUAACUUCGUG